CUAUAAGAUAAUGUAAGGCGCAUAAGGAUUUUUGAAAUCCUAAGAUAGGUUCAAUUCCUAGUCUUAUA
rnacentral:tRNA from 1 species